AAAUGAGCCACCCAGGCACCCUAAAGAAAAAAUUUAAUCCAGUUAAAAAUAGGAGCUCCAUGAAAAGAGCUUUUACCUGAAUUGAAACAUUGUGAAGUAUAAUUGUAGAAUUAAAAAUUAAAUUGGUCCACAUUUUGAACUCUCAUUAUAUAACAUGUUCAGUUAUUCCAUUGUUUUCAUGGGGGUAAAUUUUAAUAUCUUCUUGUUUGCAAGACUGUCUUUCAAUAAUUACAAUUCACUAAACCAAAAACUAAGUUUUUUGGCAUUCCAUAUUUUGGAUACUUCAUUUAAAAUCUUUAAAUUACUUUGACUAAAAUUCAACCCAAAGUUAGAGGCUCAUUUACCAAAAAAAUUUAGGAUAAUUAUAGGACACAUCAUUUCAUAUACAAACUAGUUCUUCAAAGGCUCAAGCAUUUCUAAAAUUCUGGUUGAUGAUGCGUAGCAAAGAUGGACCACAUAUACUACCAUCCUGAAGUGUUUCUUUUAAUUAUCAUCCAUCUUAUUGUAAAAAUUUUACAGUUCAGUUUCUCUGUGAAUAUACAAAAAUAUUUAAUUUGCACAACCUCAGCUCUUCUUUUAAUUAGUAAAAUACUGUAGCUUGUUUGGAUAUAGUGACACAUUAUGUAUCUACCACAACCAAGUUAAAGUACAUUGAUCUGUACAUUUCUCGAUUUAUCAAGAACAUUAUUUUUAUUCUGAUGUUGUGCUCCACCAAAUUUGUGUUUAUGCUGUCACCGCAAAACCAAAAACUUACACUUGAUUUUUCAUUUUUUAGCUGAAUUUAUAGCAAUAUUUAUUAUAAUGUUAGAAUUUUUAAUCUUUCAAGAUUGAGUAUCAAAAAGCUUUGCUGUGAUUGCGUGAAAAGUCACACCAAAAAAUUCAAACAAUUAUUAUAAUUAACUGAUUUUUCUAUUUUGAAGCAUUUGAAGACACUGAUGUGAAACUGGACUCAUUUAUUUGUGUACAAAUUCUUUUUAUACUAAAGAACAAAUGGAGGCAACACAUUAAAGCUUUCCUUUGUAGCCCCCCACCAA